UUGUGGAUAGUAUAAUAAGGCAACAUUAUCCAAAUAUACUAUAAGUAUUUCUAUGCAUUAAAACAACAUCAUAUCAAUCUCAAUAGGAAGUCUCAUGGAUAGCACAACAAACUCACUAUAGAUUUUGAUAUACUCUAUUGGCUUAGUAUAAAGAAAGAUAUGGGUAUUAUUCUUAACACUUCAUUAUUUUGACUUAAUAUGAUUUUAUGAGGAACUUUGAUCUAUUUAGUCUCAUGCACAUCUAAACAUAUAUAUUUUCAUCAC
rnacentral:lncRNA from 1 species